rnacentral:lncRNA from 1 species
UAUUUAUUAUUUUAUUUUUUUUAGUUUUUUUUUAUUUAGGCAAAGUAUUUCUUGACUGCAUAUGAAUUCACAGGACGAUUGAAAUCCUCCCCAUCCAUAGUUGUAAGUAUCAAAGCACCACCUGAAAAGGCUCUCUUAACAACAUACGAACCUUCAUAGUUUGGAGUCCACUUGCCCCGGGAAUCGGGCGCGAAAGACAAGACUUUCUUGAGCACAAGGUCACCUUCUCG